UCUACCCCAGUAGUGGGGGAUAGCCAGGAGAAAUCCUGAUUAAUACCGCAUACGAUCUACGGAUGAAAGGUGGCCUCUCCUUGGAAGCUAUCGCUAUUGGAUGAGCCCGCGUUAGAUUAGCUAGUUGGUGGGGUAAUGGCCUACCAAGGCAACGAUCUAUAGCUGGUCUGAGAGGAUGAUCAGGCCACAUUGGGAUCUGAGACACGGCCCAGACUCCUACGGGAGGCAGCAGUGGGGAAUAUUGGACAAUGGGCGCAAGCCUGAUCCAGCAAUACCGCGUGUGUGAAGAAGGCCUUAGGGUUGUAAAGCACUUUUAUGAGUGAAGAAGGCUUAAUAGUUAAUACCUAUUAAGAUUGACGGUAACUCACGAAUAAGCACCGGCUAACUCCGUGCCAGCAGCCGCGGUAAUGCGGAGGGUGCAAGCGUUAAUCGGAAUUACUGGGCGUAAAGGGUACGUAGGCGGUUAGAUAAGUUGGAUGUGAAAGCCCUGGGCUCAACCUAGGAACUGCAUUCAAAACUGUCUAACUAGAGUGUAUGAGAGGUUAGCGGAAUUCCAGGUGUAGCAGUGAAAUGCGUAGAUAUCUGGAGGAACAUCAGUGGCGAAGGCGGCUAACUGGCAUAACACUGACGCUGAGGUACGAAAGCCGUGGGGGAAGCGAAACAGGAUUUAGAUAACCCCUGGUAGUCCCACCGCCCCCUAAAACGAUGGAGAAACUAGCUGUUGGGUUAUCGUAAAUGUAAGUCAGUAGCGAAAGCUAACGCGUUAAGUUUCUCCCGCCUGGGGGAGUACGACCGCAAGGGUUGAAACUCAAAAGGAAUUGACGGGGGCCCGCACAAGCGGGUGGAGCAUGUGGGUUUUAAUUC
rnacentral:rRNA from 1 species